GUGCUGGCUUUGGCAGCGCGUAAGCUAAAAUUGGAACUAUUCAGAGAAGACUGGAGCGGUCCCUGCUCAAGGAUAAUGCACAAAUUCACGAAGUGUUAAACAAACAA